AGCAUCCAAAUACAAGCUGAAGAUUAUAUUAUAAUUACUGAAUAUGGCACGGGUCUUGUAUCUUCCCCAAUAGGAGUCACUUACAAAGGCACCAACCAGAGAGAAGGCAUAUGUGGUCCCUGUCUAUAGCAUGUUCAUACAGGCCUUUUAGUUACCAUUUGAACUUUGAAUUUGAAAUCAACACAGCAACUGAGGACAGAUUAUAAUUACUGAAUAUGACUCUCAAAUUUACCCAUGUUUUUCCUUGUAUUUGCCUUAAAAUAUUCUGGAAAGCUGCAUAAUAGGGGUUAUUUGAUACUCUAGCAAAGUGUGAUGCUCUGGACACAUGCACAAAUUAUACACGUGGAAUACAUGUACCACAAAGUGAACUGGGCAAAUAGCGGGACACACUAUAGAUAGCAUGUAGCGCUGAAAAAAGAUUUCGAUUAGAUGAACUGGGCCUCAGAAUAAUGGACAUUUGUUUUGCUGAUUUCGGACUACUGAAAUCUUUCGAUCACAACUGUCCAUUUUGAUGUCCAUUAGUCAGCUGUUUACAAUCAUGUAUUGAGUGCACUUUUGUGCUACGGUGCAUCUGCAGUAGGGCACAUAUUUUUAAGUUGAAAAUUUAUCAUUUUUUUUGUGCUAGUAUUGUAAUAUCUAUUGUGGAUUCUUACUUAUAUGUACAUUUAUCUGGAAGUAGAAAGCUUUUUCACAGUUUUGUUCUAGUAAUGUCUUAUAAUUGGAUGAGGUUUUCCACUGAAUUAACUUUCAUUACAUUUGUGACUUGUUACUCUCUCUCUCUCUAAUUACCAUAUUUAGCUUUGGUUUUGUAUAUCUGGCAUUUUGAAUGUUUAGCUUUGGCUUGGAUAUAUGAAAGCUUGAGCUGAUUCAGGAGAUGACAGCUACUAUUUCCACGGCAAGGAAAUAGCUAGGAGUUGUAAGUCAAAGGAAAUAUUAAAGAAUGAUGUGGUUGCCUUAGAGGAGAGUUGCAUCAAGUAAGAGAGAAUCACGAUCUCCAACUAGCACGGGUGCGGAGCUUAAAGGCUGAAAUAGAUAGAUACACUGAAUAUACUGGAAAAUCCUCUAUAGAAGUUUGGCAACUAGUCUUGGAUUUCUGUUAUUUUUAGGGGAAGAGGAAGAUGAUCUAUGUUUCUACUUCGUUAAACUACAUAUUAUGAAGGUUAGGCUGUUGCAAGUUUUUUCAAGGUAUGUCCUGUACAUCUGUAAAUGCAAAUUCCUUUUUCUUCCAGACCUUUCUUAAUGUUAUAGGCUUCAUUGUAUGCCCACCAUUUAAAAAUUCCUAGGGCCCACCAUAAUGUUAUAGGCUUCAUUGAAUGCCCACCCUAAGAAGUUUUUAAUGGUGGGCAUUGAGUCCCUAUUGUGUGGUCCACUUGAGGUUUGGAUCUGCUUCAUUUUUCAGACCAUGUACUAAAUAAAUACAUAGGCCAGUAGCUGAUUGGAGUUUGUUGUGUUUUGAGUUUUUUUUUUUUUUGGUUUUGAUGGUAACAAUGCAGUGUUGGGUGAUGAUGAAUAAACGGACUAGAAGAUUGUCCCUAAUGCCGGAAGAAGCUAGAGGGGAAAUAGAACCUUAUUUUAUUGAGCAUGCUGCUAUCUUGGAUGAGGACAGCCGAAAACUGCCAAAGCUCAACGAUAACUCUGCGGAUUACAUGAGGCAAGAGUUCAUGUAAUACACGAAUGGGCCUGGGCAGGUACUCCAAAUGAAGGGGCUGCUUGGCUCCAUUUGCAGAGACUAGCUGAUACAUGGCAUGGGAUUCUGUUAAUUCCAGUGACUGGAGGAGUUCUCGUUGGCAUGAUGCAUGGAUUACUUGAAAUUUUCGACCAAAUGAAGCAGCCAAGGUCUUCUCAGAGGCAAGGCUUUGAUCUGCUGGCUGGAGUCUUCCCUAGAAUAAAGGCCAUACAGGCUGCUGUAACAUUAGGCACUGGUUGUUCUUUAGGUCCUGAGGGACCCAGUGUUGAUAUUGGUAAAUCAUGUGCAAAUGGGUGUUCGGCAAUGAUGGAAAACAACAACGAAAGGAGGAUAGCUCUCGCGGCAGCUGGUGCAACUUAUGGAAUUUCUUCAGGUUUGGUAUUUCUCUCAAUUUUCUGCUCUGCAGAUGUGAAUGGUUGGUCUAGUUGAAUGACUGACCAUGUCUUUGUCGAAAGUUGCUUUGAAACCCACCUCUACGUGGGCUUGGGCAGGGCUUUGACAAAUUGAAAGAGACAGUUGAGAAGUGGGAGGGCAUAGCAAAGGCACCAACACGAUUUAAUCUAAAGCUUUUUGCUGACAAAAGACACAUACGAAACCAUGGAUGAACUUGCAAAGCUGCAGAACAAGACUACUCACCAGCUGGCCAUGGAAGUCAUCCGCAACUUUGUUGCCGCCCAACAAAAUGGCAAAAGUGAAUGAUCAGCCCCUUUUUUCAGCUGUUGCUAUUUGUUGAAUAAAUACCAAUUCAAAUGAACUUAUCUUUUUUCU